GACGAACCGUGCGAACGUUGUUCGGAAUCACUGGGCUUAAAGGGCGCGUAGGCGGCCUAUCAAGUCUGGGGUGAAAUCCCGCGGCUCAACCGUGGAACUGCCUCAGAUACUGACGGUCUCGAGGGAGGUAGGGGCAUGCGGAACUGUAGGUGGAGCGGUGAAAUGCGUUGAUAUCUACAGGAACUCCGGUGGCGAAAGCGGCGUGCUGGACCUCUUCUGACGCUGAGGCGCGAAAGCUAGGGGAGCAAACGGG
rnacentral:rRNA from 1 species